GAACUUCGAGCAGCAGUAAACUUGCAUUAAAAAAGGAGUAAACACAAGUGACACAAUAAAAUGUACUUAAUACAUGAACUUGUGAACAUUGUCUACAGGAGAAGUUAAUAGAAAUAGUGGUCAAUUACAUCAUAUAAUUUGGUUCUAUACUCUUUUGUGUAUAUAUCCUGAAUGAUACCCCUUUGUGAUCAACUCUUUGUCCUCUGAAUCGAAUGGCACAGCUACUGCCCCUUGUGGAAAAAGAAAGGGUUCUGUAAUACCCAUAAAUGUAAAAGGAAAACAUCAUGUGAUGCAUCUCAACCUGCGCAAAACAAUGUAAAAACCAUACAUGCUAUCUACAUACCCUCAUUGUCUAGCAAAGCAUAAGUAGCUGAGGGACCCUAUACAAAAGAAUUGACAAUUAGUAAGAAAGAAGCAUGCCACUUUACAUGGAACAAAAAAAAUGAUUAUUAUGGUGAGCGCAGAAUAACAUGAAGUUGUCAUGUGUAGCCAACAACUGCAGCUAUCUGUAUAGGCUACUGCUACUUUACAAUCUAUAUUGACAGGAAUAUUUGUGAAGUCAUUCAAAUCUAUCUUAAGUGAAAACAUACUUAUAAGGCAUACUUAAUUCUCUCCGUUGUUCAUUUUCCUUUUGAUGUCACUUUAUUCAUAUGGCAAGUAUGAGUUUAAUCAUCAGUAGACAGAAACUUUGUGUGAAUCAAAAUACCAAGUUUAGUAUGGAAACUAUAGUUUCUCCAUAUGUCAUUAUUUCAAGACAAAGCAUGUCAUUCACACCCACUUAGAAUCAUAAUUUCCAGUAAACUUUCCAUACAGCAAUAUCAAUAAAAAGGCUUUUGUUCUUUACCUUUAAUAGAAGAGGCAACUGGCUGAGGCUGCCCUAGCAAGAGGUCAAACUGUCGAUUGCAGAGCUGAAGCGCUAUUGAAAGUAAUUACAUCAC
rnacentral:lncRNA from 1 species